UACGUAGGGGGCAAGCGUUGUCCGGAAUCAUUGGGCGUAAAGCGCGUGUAGGCGGCUCGGUAGGUCCGCUCUGAAAGUCCAGGGCUCAACCCUGGGAUGCGGGUGGAUACUGCCGGGCUCGAGUCCGGAAGAGGCGAGUGGAAUUCCCGGUGUAGCGGUGAAAUGCGCAGAUAUCGGGAGGAACACCAAUGGCGAAGGCAGCUCGCUGGGACGUGACUGACGCUGAGACGCG
rnacentral:rRNA from 1 species